CCUACGGGCGGCAGCAGUGGGGAAUAUUGCACAAUGGGGGAAACCCUGAUGCAGCGACGCCGCGUGAAGGAAGAAGUAUUUCGGUAUGUAAACUUCUAUCAGCAGGGAAGAAAAUGACGGUACCUGACUAAUAAGCCCCGGCUAACUACGUGCCAGCAGCCGCGGUAAUACGUAGGGGGUAAGCGUUAUACGGAUUUACAGGGGGUAAAGGGAGCGUAGGCGGGGCAGCAAGUCAGAAGUGAAAGCCCGGGGCUCAAAUCCGGGACUGCUGUUGAAACUGUUGAACUAGAGUGCAGGAGAGGUAAGUGGAAUGCGUAGUGUAGCGGUGAAAUGCGUAGAUAUUAGGAGGAACACCAGUGGCGAAGGCGGCUUACUGGAGUGUAAAUGACGCUGAGGCUCGAAAGCGUGGGGAGCAAACAGGAUUAGAUACCCCGGUAGUC
rnacentral:rRNA from 1 species